UAAUACAGAGGGUGCGAGCGUUAAUCGGAAUUACUGGGCGUAAAGGGCGCGUAGGCGGUGAGAUGUGAGUGAUGUGAAAGCCCUGGGCUUAACCUAGGAAGAGCAUCGCUAACUAUGUUACUAGAGUAUAUGAGAGGGUGGCGGAAUUUCCGGUGUAGCGGUGAAAUGCGUAGAGAUCGGAAGGAACGUCGAUGGCGAAGGCAGCCACCUGGCAUAAUACUGACGCUGAGGCGCGAAAGCGUGGGGAGCGAACAGGAUUAGAUACCCUGGUAGUCCACGCUGUAAACGAUGAAGACUAGAUGUUGGUAGGGGAACCUAUCGGUAUCGAAGCUAACGCGAUAAGUCUUCCGCCUGGGAAGUACGGCCGCAAGGUUG
rnacentral:rRNA from 1 species